rnacentral:rRNA from 1 species
GACAGAGGGUGCAAACGUUGUUCGGAAUUACUGGGCGUAAAGGGCGCGUAGGCGGGAUGGCAAGUCGGUCGUGAAAUCCCUCGGCUCAACCGAGGAACGUCGAUCGAUACUGCUGUUCUUGAGGAUUGCAGAGGAGACUGGAAUUCCCGGUGUAGCGGUGAAAUGCGUAGAUAUCAGGAGGAACACCGGUGGUGUAGACGGCUUUCUGGACCGUAACUGACGCUGAGACACGAAAGCGUGGGUAGCAAACAGG